CGCCUACGGGGGAGAGACGCCCGAGGACGGUGCUUAUCGGUGUUUAUACGCGAUAUUCUGAACUGCGCACGGCAGCCUGCGGUCACAAAUCUUUUACCUCAGGGCCUGGACUAUGCGUGACAAUGGGGGUAAGGAUAAACUUGUUCUAAAAUCGGAACAGCUCAUCCUGUGUCCUGUCUUUAUAUUUAUAAUUGUAAUGGUGAAAACCGAAGAUGUAUCCAUUGUGACUGCUCCUGUUGAGUGGCCCCUGCUAGAGAUGAAUUCCCAUAUUACAGGUGAGUUUUCCACUUCUCUGGGUGAGCCCUCAGUAAUGAGGGAGCUCCCUGGGUUGUGCCACCUAAAUUGUGGCGUAUAUUAUGUGUGGAUCAGGUUUUGCUGUGUUCAGCGACUUUGUCUGGCCUGUUUUCACAUGUGAGUCACUCUGCGUGUGUUACACUGAGAAUGUCAAGAAGUCAUUUCUCUUCAGCAGUGUAUCAUGGAAGACUACUAACACAAUACUUCCAGUUUCUGGAUGGAAGCUUUGUGGCAAGGGAUAUCACCCGGUGCCAUAUUUUCUGUGAGCACUCACCCAAUUCAGUGCAAAUUUUUCCCAGG